rnacentral:snRNA from 1 species
GGCCGCAUCCACAUCGGCGUCGACAGGCAUACAGCCGCGAAAUAUGGGUUCGACGACAAGGUGUUUUACGACGAGGUCGACGCGAAGUCUGGCCAUUACGGCCUCCGCAGGAUGGGGUACAUCGCG